GCAAAUUUUUGAUGCAUUCAUAAAUCUGCUGAAAAAUCACAAGGAUUUCGAUGUGGCAGAGUUGCAAGCAGGAAUCUAUAGAUUUUUUUUCGUGGCGUAUUACAGAUUUCUGACUAUUUGCUGCAAAUAUUGCAUAAGACAUUUUUUUUAAACGCGUUUCACCCCAAAAGGGCCUGCCUGAAAACAUACCCUGCAGUAAAAUCACUGUAGUCCAGGCUUUUUGUCACAUACACAGAGCACAGAUUUUUUUGAUUAUGUAGAUUUCUUUUCCUACUGCAGUUUCAUAUGCAAAGCAUGCAUCAGCCACAUCCAUGCUAUCUCCUAAAGCAGUCAUUCUGAAACCCAAUCUGGGGACAGUGCAGACUAAAUAAAAUUUCAUUUUGAUUUGGCCUCCCGCUGUGAAUAGGACUGCUUUGUCUCAGCCGACAGAACCAGCAAGUCAGAAAGGAAGGGAGACUUUUGGAUCAGAACAGAUGAUUGAAAUGGAGACUGGAAACCCCUGAUCAUGUUGAAAGACACCGGAUCCGACUCUGGAAAUAACUAGCACAAAAUCAGAUUCCAUAAUCAUGAAAGAAACACCUGUGGGGCGCCAAGCAUCUCUCUUUGCAGAUAUAAGAUCACCGCCCUGGAGCAAGGGGAGAAGGCCACCUUUACUGGGUCCUGUAUAGGGCACUGCCUUAGCUGAGUUUCCUUCCUGCUCUGUGAGACAGAGAGAGUAUCAGACCCCACAAGAAGCUGCAUAACCCCCCUCCCCCUGCUUUCUCGGAGCCUGGGUCCACCCAGGUCUGACUGACUCCAAAGCAAGACUUGUUUACAGCAUGGAUAUGAUCCAACGGGUGGGAGAGACCGGUCAACAUUGAAAUCCAGAUGCAAUAAUAAAGCCUCAACCAAGCGCUGCAGGCAGCUGGAGGAGGCGACGCAACAAUACAGAUGGUCACAGAGGCCACCCCUCAUCUCCAAUAUCCUUUUCCAAAACGAGUAUGAGCGGCUCUACAAGCUUAUGGGAGCUAUACCUAAGCUGCUUAGAGAGCCGCUCAUACUACUGGGCACCGAGGACUCUAAUUACUCGGCCAGUAUUUCCCCCUGCACUCUAAACAGUUAAGUAUUUUGUGUCCAUUUUACAACCAAGAGAGAGAAAACGCAUGAAAUAAAUGAUUCCUCGAGCCACACACCCUUCCAAGUGUUUGACGUACAUUAACAUCUCAAAGCCACCUUGCGAGUUAGGCAUUAUUGGAUUCAUUCCCAUUUUAUAGAUGAGGCAGUGAGCCACCAGGAUGAGUGACCAGGGUGAGGUCACGUAGCUGGAGAGCGGAGGGCCAGUUGCUGACCCAGGAUGGCUGUCCCGAGCCCGGGUCACUGAAUUGCACUGCCUCCAGCAAAAGCAAUUAAGGCUGGUCAGAGUGAACCAUCCCAGACCGUGGGCAGGGUGGAGGUUAUAAACAUUGACCAAAAACCCUGUGACGAAAUGGGUGAAGUAUUUAUUCCUUUCAAUACAACCUAUCUGGACGCUUUCGUUUUUUCAUGAUGCAUGUACAGAAUUUGAGUUGGUGCCCACAAAAUUUGCCUCCUACCCUCAGAUAGGCAUACAGUAACAUACAGACAUGGUUCCAGCGAAAUCUACGCUUGUACGUAUCACAUUUAAUGUGCUUCUGAAUUGUAGAUAAAUUUAUCAUCUAGCAUUUUGAUGCCAGUAAGCCAAUUCAUAUGAAAGAGCCUUGCAAAAAGAAAAAAAUUAUUCUUGAAGCUUCAGGAAGAGACUUACAAGUAAUAAUCAGAUAUCAGAGGAAGGUAUAAAAUGAUUUGGGGUGAAGUUAUACAUGAUAGCAUUCGCUCAAAACAUUUGAGAUAGUAAACUUUUCCAUCCUUGAGUGAUUUCUGAACUUCUCGUUCAGUGCUACUCAGUUUUCUCAAUCAACGUUGGGGGCUGGCCCAGCAUCCUUUGCAGUUUCCAGAGCAUGUGAUGAUGUUCUAUUUCCUUUUCCACCAAACAGAAACCACGGUCUUCUACCUCUUUCCCACGAAGCCUCUCAGACUGAGACACCACGGAGGUCACCACUCGCCUUCAGGAGCUGGCUGGUCACUAGCUCCUGCAUGCCCUCUGCCCUUGAGGGUCGUGUACAGAACCUUCCCAAUAAGAGCACAGUGUCCCUCUGUUCACAUAUGGCUGGGGGUUGUAAUAUAUACAUUUUAAUGCAUAUUUGCUGAGCUACCACUAUGUACCCAGCACUGUGCACUCCUUGUCUCUCCCUGGAGCAUGCAUGGAGAUUUCAGAGCAGUCCUCUCUCUGAAUACGGAGCGAGAGAGAGACCCUCACUGGCCUGAGGCUCCCUUAAGGCUUAUGUGACAAUGCACCUGCUGAAAAUGCAAGCAGGAGCCCUGAACUACAUCUAAGCCACUUUACUUUCCUGCACAAUGAUGCUCUCUACCUGGGUUCCCUGAAGCAGACACAGAGACACUCCCACGUCAUUCUGCUUCAGGCCUUUGUACUUGCCGGGACGUCUGCCCUUAACGCGCAUCCUCCAGACUUUUGCAAGGCUUCAUUCAAAUGCCAACUUCUCAGAAAGGCUUCCUGACACACCCCUUCUCAGAAGAGCUCCUCACCCUCGCGACCCCCUCGUUCUGCUUGCUUUCUCUUCAUAGCCCUCGCUAAUUCCUAGUGCGUGUGUUGAAGUUUUGUCCGGGCACUACAUCUCUACGCUCCUAAAACAGCUCCUUGGCACAUAGGAGCAUUAAGUAAAUAUUUGUUGAGUGAGAACGCAAAUAAAUAAAUCAGUGCACAAACAGAACCUCGCCCAAAAGUUACGGGUAGCGCAGUUGGGAAGUUGCUGAAAUGCUCGAGGUGGGGCUCAGAAUAAACCUCAACCGAAAGAAAACCAUUUAAUAAAGGGAAAUCCAAACGUUUAUUCUCCUGAGUCACAAUCAAAGAGAAGAGAAUUUCUACCGCACUUCAUAUAUAGGCACCAUACUGUAAAUUCCUGGAGGGCAAGGACCAGGUUUCAUUCUUCUUUUAUCCCCUGAAGCUCCUAGCCUGGUAACCUUGAGUGCAUUAGGCACCCUCUAAAUGUCUGUUGAACAUAAUCAAUCUAGCAUAUCAAUCGACCUGGCCACUAAAACCAAGACUUUGGUCACCUGAUGCUGUCAUGGGGGAACGGAGAAGGCUAGCCUGUUUCAAGCAUCAUUACAUUUUUUUUCUUCCGCAUCUUUAAGAGCAUUAGACCGGUGCACCAAGUUUCUUCACUGUGUCUGUAGACGUAGUUAGGAAAAAAAACAUUCAAGAUUGCAUUGCCAUUUAAGAGAGUUUGCUAACGUUCCCUAGAAUGAAAGCCCCAUUCAGUGGAACUCGGAAGGACCAGCCCGUAAACAACAUUUACGGAGUGGGCUCUGUGCUCAGCCCCACGGUGGUCAGAGCUGCGUUCUUAAUGACCCGGAGGAAUGCCCAGGACAUACUCUGCUGUUGAAGGGAAGUUGUGUGGGGAGUUUGGCUGGGUUCCUUGAUUUUAGUUUGGUAAACCACCCAUUCUGCCUCCUUAGGAGAAAUUGGUACAGCGUCCUGAGGCAAAUAAAUGACUGACCCUGAGUCUCCCCUUUGAGGACCCAUGCUUCCCCGGGAAGGCCAGGAGAAGCAGCAAGUCCUUCGGCCCUGCCUAGACCCCUCCCGCCACGACGUGGGGAUGUGUUGGCAAUGAAGGUAGCUGGUCGAUAGUGGUAGGAGACUCAUUUAGCAGAGAGGUACUAAAGCAAACAUGCAAACAUGAACCAAAUAUCACCAAGUCCGGGCCAAACCUCCCAUCGCCAACAGCCUUGGGGGGGG